AGGGCUUGACAUGCACCGGCCCCGAAGGGCUGCCGUAUUUCUACGACAUUCCGGUGCAUGUCAAGCCCUGGUAAGGUUCUUCGCGUUGCGUCGAAUUAAACCACAUGCUCCGCUGCUUGUGCGGGCCCCCGUCAAUUCCUUUGAGUUUUAGCCUUGCGGCCGUACUCCCCAGGCGGGGUGCUUAAUGCGUUAGCUUCGGCACGGGCGGAGUCGACACCGCCCACACCUAGCACCCAUCGUUUACGGCGUGGACUAC
rnacentral:misc_RNA from 1 species